CGUCUGCUUUAUUUUGUCGGCGCUGGCUUUAUUUGCACUGUUGGAAUCAACAAAUGGCGUGAGCUUCAGUGCAAGUCCAUUUUACAACAGCAGCAGCAGCAACAACAGCUCCUUGAAAAUGCCGCAAAUGCCCUUGAGUGAUCUCCAGGUUUAAGGCAAAUUUUCAAAUUUUGUCAUGGAAUUUGGCAAGUAAGCUUGAUCUUUGGCUUCAUUUUGAGUUUGAUCAAAUCGCUAAUCUGAGUAUUCAGUGUACAAAUUUGAAUGGUAAUGGGGAUUGUCAAGAUUUCGAUUUUGUAUACAUUUGUGCUUCAUUUGUGACAUUUUCUCUCUAGUUUAUAGUUUGAUUCGGGCAGUAUACAACAUUCUUGGGGAUGACUCAAAUAGCGAGAUUAUUGAUAUUGUGAGUAGAAGGUGAGAUUAUUGGUGUGUGUAUGUGCGCGCGCGCAUUGGGGGUUGCUAUUGUGAGUACCAAAGAGCUUUCUCAUCUUAGAAUAUGUAUGUCUAUUGAAGCUGUGGAUUCUAAUCCAAAUCGAGGCGAAUUUGUCAUCUGUGAAUAAUGCUAGGGCGAUGAGAGUUCUGUAGUUUUCUACUGUUAUGUCAUGGAUUUUGCAGCAUGCUCCCUUUCAACUAUCCUCGGAUGCUUAUGCAUAAUCAAUUGGAGGUUCUAACUUCUAACUUCACAUAAUGUAGCCAAAACCAUGAGGCAAUCACUUCACUGAGUUCUGCAACCUUCUCAUA